UCGUCGGAAGUUGUAGUUUCCCCGGUAGGAUUGUGGGAGUCGUGGUUUGCUUGCAAAUUGCAGAAGCCGGGUGUUUGAGGCUCCGCCGCUGGGAGGAUACCUUGGAGCUCUUAAGGAUCUGACUACCCCAGCUCCCUCUCAUGCACCGGUCUGAGGGGACGGCAGUGACCACAAGUGAACUCACGGUUGGUGCAUUAUGAACUGGAAGGUUCUCGAUCAAGUGCCCCUGCUGCUGUAUAUCUUGGCGGCAAAAACACUGAUCCUCUGCCUGGCAUUUGCCGGAGUGAAAAUGUACCAAAGGAAGAGACUGGAAGACAAACAGCAAAAACUGGAGGCCGAAAAGAAGAAGCAGUCUGAGAAGAAAGACAGCUGAAAGCAAAUUGAAGGCUGUUCCUGAACCGCAGUGACUCUCAAGUCUUGGCCUAGAUGUCCCUUCCCGGCAGUUUCCUCCUCGGGUAUCUUGUAGCCAGUGCCUGUCCCAGUGCAUACACAGGCCCAGAGCAGGCUGUGGGGUGCAAACCCUGGCACUCCAGGGAGCUGUUCCUCAGGCCCGGUUACACAUGUAACAUACUGGCGGUUUCCUUGGUUCCGGAGUGUCCAUGUAAUGUCUUCAGAUUUUGCCUUUAACAUGUCAGCCUGGGUGGGCUCCAGCUGAGAAGAAAGAAGAAGGAAUUACUGAAUGAUGUAUCGGGAUAAACUCCCAACCUGUAGCUUUAAUUUAAUGUGCAUAUUCAUGUACUUUUUUAAAAAAACAGUAUUUUGCUUAG